GGGCCGGUAGCUCAGCAUGGUUAGAGCGCGGGACUCUUAAUCCCGUGGUCGGGGGUUCGAAUCCCCCCGGCCCGCCA
rnacentral:tRNA from 1 species